UAAAUACGUGUUUUCCAGUUAUGUAGUCUGUUGAUAAAUUCAUACUAACUCCGUGAAAUAUUUGAUUCUAUUACAAUUAUCAAUAUGUCUCAAGCAUCUACUGUGUGUGGUCCUGUGGACACCAAAAUGCAAACCUACCAACAACCUCCCAGCUGAUCCUGCUACAGAAGAAGUGGAUUCCCCAAGCCCCGUGUGUCAGCUGUGAUAGCAUCCACGGGGCCCCUCCAUGUCAUCUCCAUGGUGCUCGGGGGGCAAGAAGAACAGAAGUAAAUCAUGCUGUUUUCUGUGCCAAGAGUGUCUGAUCCAGCAAGCACACAUCCUCUGCCAGCAUGCAUGUCACAGCAGCAGGCUAACUGAUCAGUAGGUUUACAGUGGAACGGACACUUGAAAGAACCUACUGGAAGUGUUUGGAAGAUAAAGGAGGAAAAUAAGCUUCCACAGUUUAGGAAUAUGGAUCAAAAUCUCCCUUCCCUUGACUCUCAAGCUGACAGUUUGUUAAAACUUCUUCAUAUAAUAUCUGGGAGUAAAUGCAACUUGUUUGUAUCCAGAAACUCCCUUUGAAUGCCUUCAGGUCAAGAAUUCCCAGAGAUUGCUCCAUUAGAAGACUGUGAGAUGCCACCAAGCAUAUGGGACCGAAUGUCGACGUUAUUAGCAAUAAACAUGAAAACUAACACCUGACCUUUCUUCCUGUCUUCAGUCCUACAGACUGCCCUUUCUUCACUGCACUUUCACAAAGGACUUCUCCUAAUGGCCCCUUGAACCAGCCCUGGAAAUUUGUUGACUCAUUCUUUACUCUUGAUAUAGUUUCUUAAAGAACCUACCACAUAGUAGAUGCUCAAUACAUUCUUGUCAGAAUUGUUCUUCUGCAUUUUGGGAUUAAACUUGUAUAUUUUUUCCUAUAACUAAACAUGUUUUGUGGUUAUAGAAAAACUCAGAUUAAUAUAACAAGCCAUGAAAAGAUAUAAUUGAACUUUAAACACAUAUCACUAAGUGAAAAGAGCCAAUCUGAAAAGGCUACACACUGUAUGAUUUCAAAUAUAUGACAUUCUGGAAAAGGCAAAACUAUAGAAACAAAAAAAAAAAUCAGUGGUGCUGGGUGAGGGGAGAGACAACUAGGCAGAGCACAGAGCAUUUUUAAGGCAGUGAAAAUACUCUGUAUGACAUUAUAAUGAUGAGUCUAUGUCAUUAUAGAUUUAUCCAAACCUACAGAAUAUACAAAACCAAGAGUGAAUCCUAAGGUAAAAUAUGGACUUUGGAUGAUUAUGACAUGUCAAUUUAGGUUCAUCCUUGGUUAAAAAAAUAAAUAAAUAAAAGAUACUAUUCUGGUGAGUGAUGUUGAUAAUGCGGGAGGCUCUGCAUGUGUGGGGGCAGGGGGAAAAUCUCUAUACCUGCCUUCUUCUCAGUUUUGUUGUAAACCUAAAACUGCUCUAAAAAAUGAAGUCUUAAAAUUUAUUUAAGAUCUACCAUGAGAAAGUACUAAAUGUUACUGACUUGUAUAUUUUAACAUGGUUAUUUUACAGAAUGUGAAUUUUACUAAAAAAAAAUCUGCCAUUUAUAAAGCACUUGACUUCUACAGAGGGAGUUUCAAGUAACACCAUGGUUUUCCUACUGUAAUGAAUAGACAAACCAAAAUGUAAUAUUUAUCCCCAAAUAUAUUCUUAUUUCAAAAAGAAGAAAGAGAAGGAGAGUAGAAGAGAAGGAUAGAGAAAAUUAAGAAAAAAGAGCAAGGCCAGGAUGAACAUGCAAAACCCUGAUUCUCCAAAAUUAAGAAGAGAAAAACCACAUAGUGCCUAAAAUUCCACUAGAUUAAAAAAAAAAAAAAGUUUCUGAUAAAUUAACAAGCUUCCUUUUUUACGGUGGUUUUGUUCAAGAAGUAACCCUGAGCACUCACUUCGAAUCACUUGGGAUGCGUUCGAAAAGAAGGCGUUAUGAUCAUGCAUUAAAAGUGUCUGAGUGAAAGCUGUAAUUUGAUUGCCCAAAGAGGCUUUUAAACCCCAACCACAUAAUCAUGCCAUAACAAAAGUACGUUUCUCUUCCCUAUUGAUUUCCCACACUAUCUCACAGCACAUGCAUGGUUUCAUGUGUGGCUUCUCAACCUCCCAUACAACUUCAGUGUCUUAACAUACACCUGAAGAGAUUGGCAAUGAUUUCAGUUGCAAUGUAAAAUGUCAUAUAUAUUUUCUGAUUAUUGAAGAGACAAUUGCUUAUUUUAGAAAAAUUUUGCACUAUAGAAAAGUGAAUAGAAGAAAAUUAAAAUUAAUUAUAAUUGUACCACCCAGAGGCAACCAUUGUUAGCACUUGAAGGAUUUUUUUGGCCUUCUCUUUAUAUGCAUAUAUCUUAUUUUGCAAAAUGGAAACUAUACUAUAUAUGCAAAUAUUAGUCUAUUUUUACAUUUUUAGAUGUCAUCCAUUUCUUAAAAUGUGAUUUUGUAUGGCUACACACCAUUUUUCCAUGCAGUUGUACCAUGAUUUAUUUAAC